GGCUUCCUGGUGCUUACCACAGGGUGUGUUCUUACACUGACUGUACAGUAAGAGGAGGAAAAGAAAUCCAGCCCCACAUACACCUCAGUCCAGGGCCUGCGCCUGGUCUGUACUGUGAAUGGGGAGAAGGAG
rnacentral:snoRNA from 1 species